rnacentral:rRNA from 1 species
UUUUAUGAGAGUUUGAUCCUGGCUCAGGACGAACGCUGGCGGCGUGCCUAAUACAUGCAAGUCGAGCGGAUCUUUGGGAGCUUGCUCCCAAAGAUUAGCGGCGGACGGGUGAGUAACACGUGGGCAACCUGCCUGUAAGACUGGGAUAACUUCGGGAAACCGGAGCUAAUACCGGAUAACUUCUUUUCUCGCAUGAGGAGAGGUUGAAAGAUGGCUUCGGC